rnacentral:rRNA from 1 species
GAGUAAUGCUUAGGAAUCUGCCUAUUAGUGGGGGACAACAUUCCGAAAGGAAUGCUAAUACCGCAUACGCCCUACGGGGGAAAGCAGGGGAUCUUCGGACCUUGCGCUAAUAGAUGAGCCUAAGUCAGAUUAGCUAGUUGGUGGGGUAAAGGCCUACCAAGGCGACGAUCUGUAGCGGGUCUGAGAGGAUGAUCCGCCACACUGGGACUGAGACACGGCCCAGACUCCUACGGGAGGCAGCAGUGGGGAAUAUUGGACAAUGGGCGAAAGCCUGAUCCAGCCAUGCCGCGUGUGUGAAGAAGGCCUUUUGGUUGUAAAGCACUUUAAGCGAGGAGGAGGCUACUGGGAUUAAUACUCUUGGAUAGUGGACGUUACUCGCAGAAUAAGCACCGGCUAACUCUGUGCCAGCAGCCGCGGUAAUACAGAGGGUGCGAGCGUUAAUCGGAUUUACUGGGCGUAAAGCGUGCGUAGGCGGCUUUUUAAGUCGGAUGUGAAAUCCCUGAGCUUAACUUAGGAAUUGCAUUCGAUACUGGGAAGCUAGAGUAUGGGAGAGGAUGGUAGAAUUCCAGGUGUAGCGGUGAAAUGCGUAGAGAUCUG